rnacentral:rRNA from 1 species
AUUGAACGCUGGCAGCAUGCCUUACACAUGCAAGUCGAGCGGCAGCGCGGGGGCAACCCUGGCGGCGAGCGGCGAACGGGUGAGUAAUGCAUCGGAACGUAUCCAAUAGUGGGGGAUAGGCCGGCGAAAGCCGGGUUAAUACCGCAUACGCCCUAAGGGGGAAAGUGGGGGAUCGCAAGACCUCACGCUAAUGGAACGGCCGAUGUCGGAUUAGCUAGUUGGUGAGGUAAAGGCUUACCAAGGCGACGAUCCGUAGCUGGUUUGAGAGAACGACCAGCCACACUGGGACUGAGACACGGCCCAGACUCCUACGGGAGGCAGCAGUGGGGAAUUUUGGACAAUGGGGGCAACCCUGAUCCAGCCAUGCCGCGUGAGUGAAGAAGGCCUUCGGGUUGUAAAGCUCUUUCGGC